GAAUUCAAGUAACCCCUUUCUCCUUGCGAGGCCGCACUCUUCCAUAGAGGAGACAUCAUCAUCUAGUCUAACAUUCUGCCCUCCUUUAAACCAUGCACAAAGACCCAAAGCUUGCUUGCUGCUUCCCUUCCUUAUUCUUCAGUAGAAACCAUGAGCCAUUAGAGAGGAGAACCACCAGUUUAGCUUUCUUCUUCUCUCCUUUACUGAUUCGGUCAAUAGCAGUAACCUAGGGGACGGCAACAAGAGCGCAGCAUCCACCCCUUCCCUUGUUCGGCCAGAGGCAAUCUCUAGGAGCUAGGAUUGAGUCACCCCAUUGCAUGCAGCUGAACACCCAAUUUACUACAAGGAGGAUCAUUGUCCUUAAUUCUGUCGUGUCCCUCAUUGCAUGUUAGAACCAGAGUGUGAGGAUCCAAGCACCAGGCUUGGUGGCUGUCUCCCUAAUUUUGGGCGAAUUUUGCUGUGCAUACAAAGAGGUGUGCUAACUUCUAAAAGUGUGGGCCGAUUGGUGAUGCUUUGAUAAAAUAAAAUGUUAAAGACUCGAGGAAAACGUAAAAGCUUUUGAGGACUUGGAUAUUUGCUGUUGGUUUCUACUAUUGGGCAUGCUGCUUUGAUUGUAUUAUUUUCAUGGAUGACUGUACUAAUUGUGGAUGUUUAAAUUAUUAGUGAACUAUGUUUGCAUUUUGUUUUAAGACUUUUAAGAACAGCAAGUGUUUUGAAACGAAUUUCAGAACCGUUUUUACGAAAACUGAUUCAUGACGUUUUGAAAGCUAAGUUAAAACUGUUUGUGCGAGCAUUUUGUAGGUUGGCGUCCCGGGGCUACGGACCUCUGAUUUUCUUAUAAUUUAUAUGCACGUGUAGCCCAAGGUGUCUAGUUUCAUUAUAUAUAAACCUUUCAACGAAAUUCUGAAAGCUCGAUUUAUUAUGA